AGUGGCGCACGUGUGAGUAACACGUGGGUAAUCUGCCUUUAAGUCUGGGAUAACUUGCCGAAAGGCGGGCUAAUACCGGAUAAGCACACAGAGUCGCUUAGGGCUCAGUGAGAAAAGGAUGCCUCUACCUGUAAGCAUUCUCUUAAAGAGGAGCCCGCGUCCCAUUAGCUAGUUGGUAGGGUAAUGGCCUACCAAGGCGACGAUGGGUAGCUGGUCUGAGAGGAUGAUCAGUCACACUGGAACUGAAACACGGUCCAGACUCCUACGGGAGGCAGCAGUAGGGAAUAUUGCGCAAUGGGGGAAACCCUGACGCAGCAACGCCGCGUGGGUGAGGAAGGCCUUCGGGUUGUAAAGCCCUGUCAGGUGGGAAAAAACUAUUUGGGUCCAAUAGGCCUAGAUAUUGAUGGUACCACCGGAGGAAGCACCGGCUAACUUCGUGCCAGCAGCCGCGGUAAUACGAAGGGUGCAAGCGUUGUUCGGGAUCAUUGGGCGUAAAGGGCGUGCAGGCGGUAUUGAAAGUCAGGUGUGAAAGCCCGGGGCUCAACCCCGGAGGGUCGCCUGAAACUUCAGUACUUGAGUCUUGGAGAGGGUAGUGGAAUUCCACGUGUAGAGGUGAAAUUCGUAGAGAUGUGGAGGAACACCAGUGGCGAAGGCGGCUACCUGGCCAAUGACUGACGCUGAGACGCGAAAGCGUGGGGAG
rnacentral:rRNA from 1 species